rnacentral:rRNA from 1 species
CUCUGUGACUCCUACGGGAGGCAGCAGUGGGGAAUAUUGCACAAUGGGGGAAACCCUGAUGCAGCCAUGCCGCGUGUGUGAAGAAGGCCUUCGGGUUGUAAAGCACUUUCAGUAGGGAGGAAGGUAGUGUAGUUAACACCUGCAUUAUUUGACGUUACCUACAGAAGAAGCACCGGCUAACUCCGUGCCAGCAGCCGCGGUAAUACGGAGGGUGCGAGCGUUAAUCGGAAUUACUGGGCGUAAAGCGCAUGCAGGCGGCCUGUUAAGUCAGAUGUGAAAGCCCGGGGCUUAACCUCGGAAUUGCAUUUGAAACUGGCAGGCUAGAGUCUUGUAGAGGGGGUAGAAUUUCAGGUGUAGCGGUGAAAUGCGUAGAGAUCUGAAGGAAUACCAGUGGCGAAGGCGGCCCCCUGGACAAAGACUGACGCUCAGAUGCGAAAGCGUGGGGAGCAAACAGGAUUAGAUACCCUGGUAG